rnacentral:rRNA from 1 species
AUGAUGUGGUUUAAUUCGAUGCAACGCGAAAAACCUUACCCACCUUUGACAUGGCAGGAAUCCUGAAGAGAUUUGGGAGUGCUCGAAAGAGAACCUGCACACAGGUGCUGCAUGGCUGUCGUCAGCUCGUGUCGUGAGAUGUUGGGUUAAGUCCCGCAACGAGCGCAACCCUUGCCAUUAGUUGCUACGAAAGGGCACUCUAAUGGGACUGCCGGUGACAAACCGGAGGAAGGUGGGGAUGACGUCAAGUCCUCAUGGCCCUUAUAGGUGGGGCUACACACGUCAUACAAUGGCCGGUACAGAGGGUAGCCAACCCGCGAGGGGGGAGCCAAUCCCACAAAGCCGGUCGUAGUCCGGAUCGCAGUCUGCAACUCGACUGCGUGAAGUCGGAAUCGCUAGUAAUCGCGGAUCAGCAUGUCGCGGUGAAUACGUUCCCGGGUCUU